UAGAAUGGAUUGGACUAUUGCAUUCCCACCCUCACUAUAUUUUCUCUAGAAUAGUGUUGCUGAUUAUCGACCCAUAUUCCCUUGACUGUUCCCUAUGGUUUUAUAGUUUUGUUACCAUCCUAUUAAACAGAAAUAGUGUUUCUCCAUUACAAAUAUGAAAUAGAAAUCAAAUGCAAAAUGUUAGGGUCAGCUAAAGUCUCGUUUCUGCAACAUCCGGCUGUAUGUAUAAGCCUUGACUUAUGCUUUAUUUGAUCUGUGUGCAGAUGAGUCUCCGCCUUGACUGCAUUUUAGUGUAUGGGUGCCUGGAUAACCAAAUUUUUUGGGCAAUUAUCUUUCUUUCUAUUUUUUCUUAACACAUGUUUUCUACAUGUGCAGUAGUUAGAGAGCCAGUUAUCUGAAUAAUUUUCGACAGCUUGAUCUGGGUUUUGGAAAACAUUGCAAUUCCCUCUUUUGGUGCCUGAACAUUUUGUACUGACCGGACUGAUCUAUUUUAUUGUAAUUUUAUCUCUUUUUUACAGUCUUAAUUUACUCAUCUUUGGAUAUGAC
rnacentral:lncRNA from 1 species